rnacentral:rRNA from 1 species
UACGUAGGGGGCAAGCGUUGUUCGGAAUUACUGGGCGUAAAGGCUCGUAGGCGGCCAACUAAGUCGGAUGUGAAAUCCCCAGGCUUAACCUGGGAACUGCAUCCGAUACUGGAUGGCUUGAAUCCGGGAGAGGAUGCAGAAUUCCAGGUGUAGCGGUGAAAUGCGUAGAUAUCUGGAGGAAUACCGGUGGCGAAGGCGGCAUC